UGGGGAAUAUUGCACAAUGGGCGCAAGCCUGAUGCAGCCAUGCCGCGUGUGUGAAGAAGGCCUUCGGGUUGUAAAGCACUUUCAGCGAGGAGGAAGGGUAGUGUGUUAAUAGCACAUUGCAUUGACGUUACUCGCAGAAGAAGCACCGGCUAACUCCGUGCCAGCAGCCGCGGUAAUACGGAGGGUGCAAGCGUUAAGCGGAAUUACUGGGCGUAAAGCGCACGCAGGCGGUUUGUUAAGUCAGAUGUGAAAUCCCCGCGCUUAACGUGGGAACUGCAUUUGAAACUGGCAAGCUAGAGUCUUGUAGAGGGGGGUAGAAUUCCAGGUGUAGCGGUGAAAUGCGUAGAGAUCUGGAGGAAUACCGGUGGCGAAGGCGGCCCCCUGGACAAAGACUGACGCUCAGGUGCGAAAGCGUGGGGAGCAAACA
rnacentral:rRNA from 1 species